AGGAUCGGUGAUGGAUGGGUGACCUGUUCAUGGCGUGACCUCCCUUUUUUUGACCCUAACUGGACCUCACCAGGAGGAAUGGAGAGUUCUUUCUCUGAAUGGAAACACUCCUUUGAGCACGCUUGAGCCCUACAGGGAAGUAAGCAAUAUCACACUCGAUACUCCCUGGAAAUGUGCACAAACAAUGGAAAAACUUAUGUAUGUUAACAAAUUUUUUAAGUUUACAGCCUCGUAAUGAAGGAGUAGUGCUGCUCCUCCUGCUGUGUUAGCACCGUGGACAAGCAAACGGAGAGAAACAUAGCUGUGGUUGCAGCUUCGGAUGAAGCAUGUGCACAGGCUUAAGUCUGGUGUGCAGCUUUAUAUAUCUGAGCACAUGUUUUUACUGAAUCUCAUAGCCUCUUCAUCUGGUCUUCAUUUGGUUACAAAUGUUUCAGCGCUUCUGUACUUCACUGCCUCCACAUGUUUGUCAGACAAAAGGCCAAGAUGAGUUGGAAAGAGACAUUAAGAUGUGUGAAAUGCAAAGCCGAGUGCAUCAGUGCAUGUUGAUUUAAAAAAUAUGUCACACCAUCUUAUAGAUAAAAUAUGUAGCAGGAAUAACUGAGAUGCUUUGUCCAUUGCUGGUUUAUGAAUGUUUUAGAGAUACACGACAUUUUUUUUACUUGUUAGCUUGUGAUUUAUUAUAUCCCACAAUGUUUCUGUGCUACUUCACAUGUCAGAGUGAAGUAGUACUCUGACAAGUCUGCUUUUUCUACGUUUUCUCAGAUAACACAAAAGUUCAAUUGUCUCCAUUCCUUAUAUAGGUUAUCUGGUGUUCUUCAUUCUGUGUUCACUGUUUCUAAUACCUUGUUAACAACUAAGGUCCUGCUUCUGCAGUUGUUUUAGUUCUGUAUGUGAUCUUUGUAUCAUCUGCGAUAUUUCCAUAAUUUCAUUAUUUUUUAGCGUAAUUAUGAUUCAGACCACUAUGUCUAAAAAUAAAUCCAGACAUAAAUUGAUCCAGGCAUGUCCUCUUAAUUAAAUGGAACCAAACUGCAUUAGUGCAGAGAGAACUUUACUUUAAAGUGUAAAUCUCACUUUGCAUGUAGUCAAAUAGUUUGACAAAUACUCAAAAUCUAAAUUACUCCUGCUUUGAGGUCACUAAUCUUGUGCAAAACUUGAUUUGAUCAAAGAGCAAGGCUCGAACAAAAAAGUAAAUUGUUACAUCACUAAAAAAACUUCUUCUGUGAGUAGGGCAAAUUAGCUGCUGAAGUAAAACACACAACUCAAGUGGAUUCAGAAAGUCACAUUGGGAUAUAAGAGUAUAUUUAGACCAUGCACUGAAAGCUUUUAUUUUCCAAGACAAAGUAAGUGCCAAAACUUUAGGUACACAUUCUCAUUCAAAAGGUUCUGUGUGGAAAAUGUGCUGUCGGCAUUUCAUCUUACAUCCAUCAGUUGACUUUUCCAAUGAAUAUAAGACAAAACUAAAUCUCUAGAGAGAUUUAGAUUUAGUUACAGAAUCUCUAGAGAUUUGGUUUCUGUCAAACUAAAUCUCUUUACCAUAACAGCACAUAAACAAUGCACCUUUAUAUAGUAACCUGAGCUUUUUAGAAACAUUUUCCACAGCGUCUUAUUGCUUGUUGGUAAUAACUUACAAAUUAUUUGAAAAGAUUCUUUCUAAAUGAUUAAAUAAUUGCUAGCGAAAAGUUACAUUUCUUCAUCAAUGCUUUGACUAAUAACCAAUAUAUCCCUUUCCAUUAAAGCGCAGAGAUCCCAUGUAUUUACCUACUAAAAACUGACUUGUUGGUGUCAAAUGUUAACAUUCACAUUGAGCGUAAACCGAAGCCUUUUUGUUUAAAAAGAGGAAUAUGUGCCCCUAAAAACUGAUGUUUGAUCAUGGAUACAAUUGACUGUGUUUUUAUAUGUAGAUGCCACCUCCUCACACUUCCAGAGCACAGGACUGGUUCUCAGGCUCUGCAGUAAUUAGGGGUCAUGGUUUGGGCCCCUCGUCAAUCAGCAGGUCAUUAGAGCUCUUUAAUGAGCCCCUCCUCCUCAUCCUUCUUCAUUUUCUCCUCUAUUUUCAUCUCCCUUCCUUCUCUUUUUGGUAUCCAUUACUUUUCUGCAUGAUAUUCUGAGACAUUUCAUCUACUUCUCCUUGCACUUACAUUUAUAUGUACGUCUGAUCCAUUUCUGUCUCCUUUCAAGGACUUUAUCAGAAAAAUAAAAUAAAAUUCUUGUUCUCUCUUUCCAAGA